rnacentral:rRNA from 1 species
GACGAACGCUGGCGGCGUGCCUAAUACAUGCAAGUAGAACGCUGAAGGAGGAGCUUGCUUCUCUGGAUGAGUUGCGAACGGGUGAGUAACGCGUAGGUAACCUGCCUGGUAGCGGGGGAUAACUAUUGGAAACGAUAGCUAAUACCGCAUAAUAGUAGAUGUUGCAUGACAUUUACUUAAAAGGUGCAAUUGCAUCACUACCAGAUGGACCUGCGUUGUAUUAGCUAGUUGGUGGGGUAACGGCUCACCAAGGCGACGAUACAUAGCCGACCUGAGAGGGUGAUCGGCCACACUGGGACUGAGACACGGCCCAGACUCCUACGGGAGGCAGCAGUAGGGAAUCUUCGGCAAUGGACGAAAGUCUGACCGAGCAACGCCGCGUGAGUGAAGAAGGUUUUCGGAUCGUAAAGCUCUGUUGUAAGAGAAGAACGAGUGUGAGAGUGGAAAGUUCACACUGUGACGGUAUCUUACCAGAAAGGGACGGCUAACUACGUGCCAGCAGCCGCGGUAAUACGUAGGUCCCGAGCGUUGUCCGGAUUUAUUGGGCGUAAAGCGAGCGCAGGCGGUUAGAUAAGUCUGAAGUUAAAGGCUGUGGCUUAACCAUAGUACGCUUUGGAAACUGUUUAACUUGAGUGCAAGAGGGGAGAGUGGAAUUCCAUGUGUAGCGGUGAAAUGCGUAGAUAUAUGGAGGAACACCGGUGGCGAAAGCGGCUCUCUGGCUUGUAACUGACGCUGAGGCUCGAAAGCGUGGGGAGCAAACAGG